rnacentral:lncRNA from 1 species
UCUCACACACACACGGAGACGGAGAGAGAGAGAGUGUGUCAUUGUAGAACUAUAAUAUUAUUAGACUAGAAUUGAAUUGCUUUUCUAUCACGACUCUCUAAAACUAUAAUAUUAUUAAACUAGAAUUGUAUUGCUUUUCUGUCUCAUUACAAUGCGCAAAUAUAUCCAUCAAUAUAAAGCCACUAAAAUUGUAUUGCUUUUCUUUUCAGUUGUGUUUGAGUAUUGUCUUCCUGCAGCAGGGUACUAUAACGCAUUUGCACGAGUUACUAAUACAAGCUCCAGAGCCAGCACGCCAAAAAGUGCACCAUGGUUGGCAAUCUGUAUUAGAAUUACACGACGGUGGUCCUUGGGCUGAACCUGAACCGCUUGCCUCUGCAAUUCCACUCAUGAAAUGAAACCCUGCAAAUAAUUACACAAGAUAGUAAAUCACUAACAUCUGAGAGGUUGUGAGUUCGAGUCUCACCAAGAGCAAGGUGGAAAUUUUUGGAGGGAAGGAUGCCGGGGUUUUUUUUUGGAAACAGCCUCUCUACCCAAGAGUAGGGUAGGGGUAAGGUCUGCGUUCACACUACCCUCGCAGAUCCCACUAAGUGAGAUUAUACUGGGUUGUUGUUGUUGUUGUAUAGUAAAUCACUACACAUUUUUACAUACACCAGCCGGAAAAUAAAGAAUUUGAAUUCCAAAACUGAAAGUCCAAUAUUUUUUUUUCUGAUUCAACCUUCAAGGACAAAUAAUGUAAAAGAAACAUGUUAAAAGUAAAGCGCACCUAGCACAAACAAGAAAACUUCGAUACGACUAAUAAAUUUAUCAAAUGCGACAUGUUUAAGAUAGUACGUUUUAAAAGAUUUAUAAUUAAAUAAAUGUUAUGGCAUGUUGAUAACCAUAAAUUAAAAGUUUUCGUUUCUUCUUAAAUUCUAAUCUAAGUCAAACUAUGACAAACAAUUUAAAUUGAAACAUAGAAGGUAAUGACAUAUCUCGAGAUGAACAUGAUUUCUUGUAAAGGCUAUAAGACUAUCUAAGGACACUUGAAACUAUAGCAUAUCGUAAAAGAAACACACUGAACACCAAGAAAAAUUAUGAAGUUUGAUGCACAUGAUUGAGGGGACAAACCAGUUAGAAAAAGCCAGAAGGUGAAUAAGCACAGCAACUUUCUUGAAGCCUUUUCCAUGUUGUGUUGUGUGAUGAUUUAUUGAAUAAAUUUCAUUAUUGAAUAAAU